rnacentral:rRNA from 1 species
UGGGGAAUAUUGGACAAUGGACCGAGAGUCUGAUCCAGCAAUUCUGUGUGCACGAUGAAGUUUUUCGGAAUGUAAAGUGCUUUCAGUUGGGAAGAAAAAAAUGACGGUACCAACAGAAGAAGUGACGGCUAAAUACGUGCCAGCAGCCGCGGUAAUACGUAUGUCACGAGCGUUAUCCGGAUUUAUUGGGCGUAAAGCGCGUCUAGGUGGUUAUGUAAGUCUGAUGUGAAAAUGCAGGGCUCAACUCUGUAUUGCGUUGGAAACUGUAUAACUAGAGUACUGGAGAGGUAAGCGGAACUACAAGUGUAGAGGUGAAAUUCGUAGAUAUUUGUAGGAAUGCCGAUGGGGAAGCCAGCUUACUGGACAGAUACUGACGCUAAAGCGCGAAAGCGUGGGUAACAAACAGG